rnacentral:rRNA from 1 species
UACGUAGGCAGCGAGCGUUGUUCGGAGUUACUGGGCGUAAAGAGUGCGUAGGCGGUUUUCUAAGUUUGGUGUGAAAUCCCCGGGCUCAACCUGGGAACUGCAUCUGUGACUGCAUCGCUGGAGUGCGGCAGAGGGGGAUGGAAUUCCGCGUGUAGCAGUGAAAUGCGUAGAUAUGCGGAGGAACACCGAUGGCGAAGGCAAUCCCCUGGGCCUGCACUGACGCUCAUGCACGAAAGCGUGGGGAGCAAACAGG